rnacentral:rRNA from 1 species
UACGUAGGCAGCAAGCGUUGUUCGGAGUUACUGGGCGUAAAGAGUGUGUAGGUGGUCCUCUAAGUUUGGUGUGAAAUCUCCCGGCUCAACUGGGAGGGUGCGCCGAAAACUGGGGGGCUUGAGUGUGGGAGAGGAAAGCGGAAUUCCUGGUGUAGCGGUGAAAUGCGUAGAUAUCAGGAGGAACACCUGCGGUGUAGACGGCUUUCUGGACCACUACUGACACUGAGACACAAAAGCGUGGGUAGCAAACAGG